rnacentral:tRNA from 1 species
CAAAUUAUACUUGUUAGAAGUAUUUAUUAUUUACAUUAAUAGAUUAAGUGUGCAAUUCAUUUUAGUUUGA